AGGGAUGAAGUUGAGCUCUCAUUGCUGGCUGAGAAGGAUAGAGAUGACAAUCCUACUAGAAUUGGAUGUACGAUCAUAUCAUACUGUUUUAAUUUUUCCUUAAACCAUAAAAUCAUAUAUGGAAAUGGAACAAAAAAUUCCAGAGAUAAAACUGGGUGUGAAAUGUUUCCAAUAGAAAAACAUACUGCUCUCUUCUCUUUCCAAAAAGUUUUUUAUAAACAUAACUCAAAGCUUAACCGUCCAAUUUUUUUUUUUAUAAAAAACAUGAGGGUUAUGUUGAUAAAUUAGACCAAGCUUAUUAGCAGAUUUAGUUUAUCUGGUAACCAACUAAGAUUCAUAUCUAUACAAGUUUAUCAUGAUACACUCACACUCACUCAAUCUGCACAAUUUACAUCAUUUCAACAUAUACCCUACGUUAAAAGCUAAAUUAGACAGAAUUGUGGUUCAAUGAAAAUCUGAAACAAAGUAUAAAUGAGAGGAUAUGUUAAGAGGUCCGACAAUUGGUCCGGUUUGUUUCUGUUGGAAACAAGUUGUGGUUUAUAAUCUAAGCAAAAGCUAAUGUCUUACAAAUCUAUAGUCCAAACAAAAACUAUCCAUUUACAAAUGAUAGUUAGUACCAGUCCCAUAUUACUUCAAUAUAAUGACGCCAUCUAUUGAUUUAUUACAACUGAUGUGUCCAAACGGUAAAAUAAAACACUCACAUAAAGAUAUGAUUAAACUAAAACUAGACGUUACUUCAAUAAAGCUUUCAAUAACGUUACUUCAAUAAAGCUCUCAAUAAUGGUCAUUAUAAGUGAAAUUUACUGAAAUACAUAACGUAAAAAAUACUUAGAGAAACAAAAUAUAUACAUAAAAAUAAGUUAAAAAAUAUAAUAUAAUUAAAUCCAAAAACAUAAUGCUUAUUUUACAUUAAAUUCAACUGAAGAAAACUUACAAAAUAUUAAGGGAAACCACGAAAAAUACAUAAUAAGAAUAUAUAUUUUUUAAAAUAAUCUUAAAAUAACAAAAUAUAACAAAAAUGAAAAAGCCAAAAAAAAAAUAUUUUCAUGAUAAUACAAAGCAUAAGAAGUUUAUAUUUGCUACAAAUACAUAGAAACGUAACACAAAACAAUAUAACAAAUAACUAUAUAAAAACAAAAAUAAACAUAUGCGCUAAAAAAUAAAAGAGAACAAUACCACCAAAAUAAAUAGAACAUGGUUUCAUUAUAACAGUCUCAACAGUUACGUUGAAUUAUGAAAUUUAGUUUAUCAUAACGAGAUUGAAUUCAAUUAUCAUUUUUAAUCGAAAGUAUGGUCAAGAAUACUGAAUCACAUAAAAUAUAAAAUCAAACACUUUCAAAUAAAAUCUGAAGUUCAAUAAAAUACACAAAUUUUAUGCACUUAGCGCAACUAAUAUUGAAACCCUUUAAAUUCUUAAUAUAUAUUAACCCAACACUUCUUCUCCAAUUCAAACUUUUUUCUCAAAUCCAGUUCACCAGUAUUGUAUACUAUAAAUCAUCUUCGGAAGCAUACACAAUUAAAUCAUAUCACAA
rnacentral:lncRNA from 1 species